rnacentral:rRNA from 1 species
UACAGAGAUCCCAAGCGUUGUUCGGAUUCACUGGGCGUAAAGGGUGCGUAGGUGGUUGGGCAAGUCUGAUGUGAAAUCUCCGGGCUUAACCCGGAAAUGGCAUUGGAAACUGCCUGGCUAGAGUGUUGGAGGGGGGACUGGAAUUCUCGGUGUAGCAGUGAAAUGCGUAGAUAUCGAGAGGAACACCAGUGGCGAAGGCGAGUCCCUGGACAACGACUGACACUGAGGCACGAAAGCUAGGGGAGCAAACAGG